GGGUGCCAGCUCAAUGGUAGAGCAUCUUCUUGGCACAGGGGAAGUCCCAGGUUCAAUCCCUGGCAUCUCCA
rnacentral:tRNA from 1 species